rnacentral:rRNA from 1 species
GACGAACCGUGCGAACGUUGUUCGGAAUCACUGGGCUUAAAGGGCGCGUAGGCGGCUCCGCCAGUCGGGGGUGAAAUCCCACGGCCUAACCGUGGAAGGGCCUCCGAUACUGCGGGGCUGGAGGGAGGUAGGGGCAGCGGGAACUUCGGGUGGAGCGGUGAAAUGCGUUGAUAUCCGAAGGAACGCCGGUGGCGAAAGCGCGCUGCUGGACCACUGCUGACGCUGAGGCGCGAAAGCGUGGGGAGCAAACAGG